rnacentral:rRNA from 1 species
GCAGUUAAGAAGCUCGUAGUUGGAUUUGUGGCGUACGGUGUGUUCCGGGCACUUGUUGUCUGAGUAACCUGCCGUUGCCAUCCUUGGGUGGAACAUGUGUGGCAUUAGGUUGUCGUGCAGGGGAUGCCCAUCAUUUACUGUGAAAAAAUUAGAGUGUUCAAAGCAGGCUUAUGCCGUUGAAUAUAUUAGCAUGGAAUAAUAAGAUAGGACUUGUUUGCUAUUUUGUUGGUUUGCGCAAAUAGGUAAUGAUUAAUAGGGACAGUUGGGGGUGAUUUUUGGAAGACGAACUACUGCGAAAGCAUUUACCAAGGAUGUUUUCAUUAAUCAAGAACGAAAGUUAGGGGAUCGAAGAUGAUUAGAUACCAUCGUAGUCUUAACCAUAAACUAUGCCGACAAGGGAUUGGUGGAGUCUCGUUAUGUCUCCAUCAGCACCUUAUGAGAAAUCACAAGUCUUUGGGUUCCGGGGGGAGUAUGGUCGCAAGGCUGAAACUUAAAGAAAU